GUGCCAGCCGCUGCGGUAAUACGUAGGGAGCGAGCGUUGUCCGGAUUUACUGGGUGUAAAGGGUGCGUAGGCGGCCUGGCAAGUCAGUUGUGAAAACUAUGGGCUCAACCCAUAGCCUGCAAUUGAAACUGUUGGGCUUGAGUGAAGUAGAGGUAGGUGGAAUUCCCGGUGUAGCGGUGAAAUGCGUAGAGAUCGGGAGGAACACCAGUGGCGAAGGCGACCUACUGGGCUUUAACUGACGCUGAAGCACGAAAGCAUGGUAGCAAACAGGAUUAGAUACCCUGGUAGUCCAUGCCGUAAACGAUGAUUACUAGGUGUGGGGGUCUGACCCCUCCGUGCCGGAGUUAACACAAUAAGAAUCCACUGGGAUACGACCGCAAGGUUGAAACUCAAAGG
rnacentral:rRNA from 1 species